rnacentral:rRNA from 1 species
AUUGAACGCUAGCGGGAUGCUUUACACAUGCAAGUCGAACGAGAGGCGGACGGGUGAGUAAUGUAUGGGAACCUGCCCAAUAGCGGGGGAUAACUACUCGAAAGAGUGGCUAAUACCGCAUACCAUCAGAUCGGCACAGAUGGGAUGAGCUAGUUGGUGGGGUAAUGGCUAACCAAGGCAACGAUCCCUAGCUGGUUUGAGAGGAUGACCAGCCACACGGGGACUGAGACACGGCCCAGACUCCUACGGGAGGCAGCAGUGGGGAAUUUUGGACAAUGGGGGAAACCCUGAUCCAGCCAUCCCGCGUGUAUGAGAAGGCCUUCGGGUUGUAAAGUACUUUUGGCAGGGAAGCGGUAUCUGCAGAAUAAGCACCGGCUAACUCCGUGCCAGCAGCCGCGGUAAUUC